rnacentral:rRNA from 1 species
CCUACGGUGGGCAGCAGUGGGGGAUAUUGCACAAUGGGGGGAACCCUGAUGCAGCGACGCCGCGUGGGUGAAGGAGCGUUUCGGCGCGUAAAGCUCUAUCGGCAGGGAAGAUGAUGACGGUACCUGACUAAGAAGCCCCGGCUAACUACGUGCCAGCAGCCGCGGUAAUACGUAGGGGGCAAGCGUUAUCCGGAUUUACUGGGUGUAAAGGGGGCGUAGGUGGCAGGGCAAGUCAGAUGUGAAAGCCCGGGGCUCAACCCCGGGAGUGCACUUGAAACUGCACGGCUGGAGUGCAGGAGAGGCAAGCGGAAUUCCUAGUGUAGCGGUGAAAUGCGUAGAUAUUAGGAGGAACACCAGUGGCGAAGGCGGCCUACUGGACUGUAACUGACGUUGAGGCCCGAAAGCGUGGGGAGCAAACAGGAUUAGAUACCCGUGUAGUC